AUACGAAGGGGGCAAGCGUUGUUCGGAAUAACUGGGCGUAAAGCGCACGUAGGCGGAAUGUUAAGUUAGAGGUGAAAUCCCAGGGCUCAACCCUGGAACGGCCUUUAAUACUGGCAAUCUAGAGACCGAGAGAGGUGAGUGGAAUUCCGAGUGUAGAGGUGAAAGUCGUAGAUAUUCGGAGGAACACCAGUGGCGAAGGCGGCUCACUGGCUCGGUACUGACGCUGAGGUGCGAAAGCGUGGGGAGCAAACAGGAUUAGAAACCCUAGUAGUCC
rnacentral:rRNA from 1 species